rnacentral:rRNA from 1 species
GACGAACGCUGGCGGCGUGCUUAACACAUGCAAGUCGAACGGAAAGGCCCUGCUUUUGUGGGGUGCUCGAGUGGCGAACGGGUGAGUAACACGUGAGUAACCUGCCCUUGACUUUGGGAUAACUUCAGGAAACUGGGGCUAAUACCGGAUAGGAGCUCCUGCUGCAUGGUGGGGGUUGGAAAGUUUCGGCGGUUGGGGAUGGACUCGCGGCUUAUCAGCUUGUUUGUGGGGUAGUUGCUUACCAAGGCUUUGACGGGUAGCCGGCCUGAGAGGGUGACCGGCCACAUUGGGACUGAGAUACGGCCCAGACUCCUACGGGAGGCAGCAGUGGGGAAUAUUGCGCAAUGGGCGGACGCCUGAUGCAGCAACGCCGCGUGCGGGAUGACGGCCUUCGGGUUGUAAACCGCUUUCGCCUGUGACGAAGCGUGAGUGACGGUAAUGGGUAAAGAAGCACCGGCUAACUACGUG